GCAGGAGCAGGAGGUUCGGGAGGAUCCGGACUUAAACAUGGUUACUGAAGACAUUCUUAGUACUGAAAGUGGAAAGGACAAUUUGAAAACACCGAUUUCCCCUAAGGCUUCGCCCCCCGUGCAUGGCAGCAAGUGCAAACUAUGCGGCAAAAUGAUUGGAAGGUUGAGCACCUUGGGAAACCACGUAAUGAACCAACAUUACACAGCAAUAAGAGG